rnacentral:lncRNA from 1 species
GGCAUUUUGAUGUAUGUUUGUAGCUUAAAUUUCAGAAGGAAGAUUUUUCUUUUUGAUUUUUGGUGGUCUGGAUAUUGAACACAGAGUUAUCUAGUUAAACACUACCAUUGAGCUAACUCAGGCCUCUGCAUAUUAUACAAAGUUGUGGAAUUUAAUCACUGAUUAUCCUUUUUUUUUUUUUUUGAUAGCUUCAGUAUGGAAUUUUUUGGGAGGAAAUGAAUAGGUGCCUCCCCCAAUAAGUCUUAAAACUCCUUUUAUUUGGAUUGGUAGUUAGCAUAGUUAGCACUUAGCUGAACACUUAGAAUUUUCUUUUUAUUAUGAUGAACUCUGAAUUUCCUCUUAACACUGGGUUUUCUCCAUUGCAGGAAGUUGGCAGUAUCAUCGGAAAGAAAGGAGAAUC